UAUUUAAAUAGCUUAAAUAAGAGUUUAAUAUUGAAGAUAUUAAGGUGAUUAAUAAAAUCUUUAAAU
rnacentral:tRNA from 1 species